GCAUUUCCUUCGCCUUCUGGAGAAUACAAAGGAUUUGAAUAUGCUCAACACUACUGAAUGCGACAUUUAUGUUGCUUAAUGGCUUCAGCUUUGCUGAUUUUUGAUUUGUGGCAAGUCAAUGGGACAGGUAUUUCUUUCACUCCAGACAUGAAGAGCUUCGGACAGUGUUGGAUUAAUGCGUCUGCAGUACAAAACUUCUUUCAUCAAGUCCUUAACAUAUCCUGAAAAGCAAAUCAUUAUUUAUGUUGGCUUUGCAUUGCACUUUGAGAAAA